GCUCAUGUAGCUCAGUCGGUAGAGCACUUCCUUGGUAAGGAAGAGGUCACUGGUUCGAUUCCAGUCAUGAGCACCA
rnacentral:tRNA from 3 species